CUAAUACUCCCGUCCGAAAAUACUUGUCAUAAAAAUGGAUAAAAAAAAGAUGUAUCUAAAACUAAAAUACAUCUAGAUACAUCUUCUUUUAUCCAUUUUGAUGACAAGUAUUUUCGGACGGAGGGAGUAGAAG
rfam:Triticum aestivum genome assembly, contig: Triticum_aestivum_CS42_TGACv1_scaffold_002583_1AL